GCAUAGUUGGGCUAGAUAUUCUCUGGGGCCUUCCACCCUUGGUCACUCUGAGUGAGUGUUUGAGGAAUUGUGUAGGUCAAAUUGAGUUUUGGCUAACUGUUAUUUAAAAAUUAAGAGCUGUAGACACCAGGCAGAUUGCCUAGAUAGAAUCCAGUUUUCCUGUUGCCCAGUACCAUAAGAUAUGGCGCCAUUUCUAACCUAACUGUAUGCAUAUUUCUCAUCUUAAUGCAAUAUCUGAUUAUUCUUAAUAACUUAAAUAUAUUCAAGUCAUUCCUCUCUUUUGUAUCCUCAGUUGUAAAAUAAAAGCCUGAAAAUGCUAACUAAGGAUGUUUGGAAAUGUUCACUCUUCAACAUGUGCACAACCCAUAAAAAAUAGAUAACACCUUGAGAGUUUAAUUCAGUGAGUCAGAUACUCCUUGUAUUGCUAACUCAUUCUUCUUCAAAAAUACUCUGGCUAGUCCUAAGUCUUACUAACUCUUAGAAGCCAGGGUAAUAUAAUUCUUAUAACUGCUGCAAAGUUGUCCUUUAAAGUUUUUCUACCAGAUGAUGUGUUACUCAGCUUGAAUAAACCUGAGAGACUGAUUCCACAAGUGUUACGAAGUAUUGAUUCAUUUCCUUUGAGUGUCUGGCUAAAGGGUGACUUGAGGAAAAUGUAAAGUUUUGUUCUUAAAUAAAUAUUGUUUAUAAAUGGAUCAUGUCAGCAACACUCAGAUUUCAUGAUUGCCUGGAGUGGGAACUGGAUAAUGAGGCUUGUCAGCUCCACUGGAUUUGCAGCAGGCCACCAGGGACUCCUCACAACAUUCAAGAUUACUGGCAGUUUACCAGCCUUUUCUCAAAUUCAUCUGUCUGUUGUGGUUGAACCUGGGGGCUGAUUCUCUCCAUGGCUGGAUGAUGAUCGGUCAUUGAAAGAUACAGUUGACUAGGAAAUAAAAUUCAAUUUGUCAGUUAAACA
rnacentral:lncRNA from 1 species